rnacentral:rRNA from 1 species
AGAGUUUGAUCCUGGCUCAGGAUGAACGCUGGCGGCGUGCUUAACACAUGCAAGUCGAACGGAAAGGCCAGUGCUUGCACUGGUACUCGAGUGGCGAACGGGUGAGUAACACGUGGGUGAUCUGCCCUGUACUUCGGGAUAAGCUUGGGAAACUGGGUCUAAUACCGGAUAGGACAACUUUUUGGAUAUUGUUGUGGAAAGCUUUUGCGGUAUGGGAUGAGCUCGCGGCCUAUCAGCUUGUUGGUGGGGUAAUGGCCUACCAAGGCGUCGACGGGUAGCCGGCCUGAGAGGGUGUACGGCCACAUUGGGACUGAGAUACGGCCCAGACUCCUACGGGAGGCAGCAGUGGGGAAUAUUGCACAAUGGGCGCAAGCCUGAUGCAGCGACGCCGCGUGGGGGAUGAAGGCCUUCGGGUUGUAAACUCCUUUCGCUAGGGACGAAGCGUAAGUGACGGUACCUGGAGAAGAAGCACCGGCUAACUACGUG